CUCUGAGCAAGUUCCUUGGUGUGCAAAACAUUGGCGAGCUUCGAGACAGCAUAAGCACGUGUCGCAUCGUAUUGACUGGAGACACCGACACAAAUUUUCAGAAAAGCCCCAGAUAACGGAUUACGUCGCCGGAAAACCAGCUGUGAAUGGUCGACGAUACGUUCACGAUGCGACCUUGAACGCCGGUCUUUUUCGCCGUUUCGAUCAUCUUAUUUAGUAACAGUUUGGUCAAUAGAAAAUGACCUGAGAAAUUCAUUGAAAAUGUAUAUAUAUUACUUAGCUCAAAUAAAUUGAAUAAAUAAUAAUUUCAGUUUUUUUCUUCAA